rnacentral:lncRNA from 1 species
AAAAGCCUUUAAUAUAAAUUCACUUUCUUUACAGUUGUAUUGAUUUAAGUUACUGUAACUGUCUUAUUUAUAAGUAAGGAUGCAGUAUUUUUUGCAAAGAACCAAUGCUAUCCAAAAGAGUUCAAAGAAUGAAAAUGUAUUAAUAACUAUAGGCCACAAUGAAGGUCGUCAAUAAUGAGAAAUGUUUGUACCAUAUACAUGUAGAAAGCUUUAACAGGCCCCGACAGAAACAUGUGGAACAAUUUAAACAAAAAAAAACUUACGUGUUAACUUAAUUUACUUAAAACAAAUAUGAAGGCCCUUGAAGUUGACAUCGCAUGGGUACUUAAAGAAAUUAACAGAGCUUUCUGCAUGUAUAUUUCAUUAUUUUAGAUCUACAGUCAUGACAGUUUAAGGUUGCAAUCAUGAGAAAAAUAUCAAAACUUUUUAUGAUAAACAUAAAAAAGUGAUUUUUUAUGAUUACUGAGGAGAC